rnacentral:rRNA from 1 species
UACGUAGGGGGCAAGUGUUGUCCGGAAUUAUUGGGCGUAAAGAGCGUGUAGGCGGCCAGAUAAGUCCGCUGUGAAAUCUCGAGGCUCAACUUCGAGCUGUCGGUGGAAACUAUCUGGCUAGAGUCCGGAAGAGGAGAAUGGAAUUCCUGGUGUAGCGGUGAAAUGCGCAGAUAUCAGGAAGAACACCCGUGGCGAAGGCGGUUCUCUGGGACGGUACUGACGCUGAGACGCGAAAGCGUGGGGAGCGAACAGG